rfam:Xanthomonadales bacterium 63-13 scnpilot_p_inoc_scaffold_430, whole genome shotgun sequence.
CUCAGCGAACAUAGCGCUGUGGACCCACCCGAUCCCAUCCCGAACUCGGAAGUGAAACGCAGCUGCGCCGAUGGUAGUGUGGCUCAAGCCAUGCAAGAGUAGGUCACCGCUGAGC